rnacentral:rRNA from 1 species
CAAGUCGAGCGGACGGAUAAGGAGCUUGCUCCUUUGAAGUUAGCGGCGGACGGGUGAGUAACACGUGGGUAACCUACCUAUAAGACUGGAAUAACUUCGGGAAACCGGAGCUAAUGCCGGAUAACAUUUGGAACCGCAUGGUUCUAAAGUAAAAGAUGGUUUUGCUAUCACUUAUAGAUGGACCCGCGCCGUAUUAGCUAGUUGGUAAGGUAACGGCUUACCAAGGCAACGAUACGUAGCCGACCUGAGAGGGUGAUCGGCCACACUGGAACUGAGACACGGUCCAGACUCCUACGGGAGGCAGCAGUAGGGAAUCUUCCGCAAUGGACGAAAGUCUGACGGAGCAACGCCGCGUGAGUGAUGAAGGUUUUCGGAUCGUAAAACUCUGUUAUUAGGGAAGAACAAAUGCGUAAGUAACUGUGCGCAUCUUGACGGUACCUAAUCAGAAAGCCACGGCUAACUACGUGCCAGCAGCCGCGGUAAUACGUAGGUGGCAAGCGUUAUCCGGAAUUAUUGGGCGUAAAGCGCGCGUAGGCGGUUUCUUAAGUCUGAUGUGAAAGCCCACGGCUCAACCGUGGAGGGUCAUUGGAAACUGGGAAACUUGAGUACAGAAGAGGAAAGUGGAAUUCCAUGUGUAGCGGUGAAAUGCGCAGAGAUAUGGAGGAACACCAGUGGCGAAGGCGACUUUCUGGUCUGUAACUGACGCUGAUGUGCGAAAGCGUGGG